AAUUUGGAGGGUUUGAUCCUGGCUCAGAGUGAACGCUGGCGGCGUGCUUAACACAUGCAAGUCGAACGGGUGCUUUUCCGUAGCAAUACGGAAAGGCGCUAGUGGCAGACGGGUGAGUAACACAUGGGUGAUCUACCUCCAAGAGGAAAAUAACCCCGAGAAAUCGGGGCUAAUGUUCCAUAAGACCAAAAUCCUUCCUAAAAAGGAUAUGGGUCAAAGUCCCGCAAGGGACGCUGGGAGAUGAGCCCGUGUCCUAUCAGCUAGUUGGUGAGGUAACGGCCCACCAAGGCU
rnacentral:ncRNA from 1 species